CAAUGGGGGCAACCCUGAUCCAGCAAUGCCGCGUGUGUGAAGAAGGUCUUCGGAUUGUAAAGCACUUUCGACGGGGACGAUGAUGACGGUACCCGUAGAAGAAGCCCCGGCUAACUUCGUGCCAGCAGCCGCGGUAAUACGAAGGGGGCUAGCGUUGCUCGGAAUGACUGGGCGUAAAGGGCGUGUAGGCGGUUUGUACAGUCA
rnacentral:rRNA from 1 species